AGUGAACGCUGGCGGUAGGCCUAACACAUGCAAGUCGAACGGCAGCACAGUAAGAGCUUGCUCUUACGGGUGGCGAGUGGCGGACGGGUGAGGAAUACAUCGGAAUCUACUUUUUCGUGGGGGAUAACGUAGGGAAACUUACGCUAAUACCGCAUACGACCUACGGGUGAAAGCAGGGGAUCUUCGGACCUUGCGCGAUUGAAUGAGCCGAUGUCGGAUUAGCUAGUUGGCGGGGUAAAGGCCCACCAAGGCGACGAUCCGUAGCUGGUCUGAGAGGAUGAUCGGCCACACUGGAACUGAGACACUGUCCAGACUCCUACGGGAGGCAGCAGUGGGGAAUAUUGGACAAUGGGCGCAAGCCUGAUCCAGCCAUACCGCGUGGGUGAAGAAGGCCUUCGGGUUGUAAAGCCCUUUUGUUGGGAAAGAAAAGCAGCAGGUUAAUACCCCGCUGUUCUGACGGUACCCAAAGAAUAAGCACCGGCUAACUUCGUG
rnacentral:rRNA from 1 species